CUCUUGCGAUACCUUCUUUCCAUUCUUCUUUAUUUCAUUCCGGUAAGUUUCCUUUAUUCGCCGUUUGAAUUAUACGAUCUUUCAACGGAGAAAAAUGAAGAUUGGUAGCUUGACCUAUUUAAUUAACAUGUUGAAAAUUUACCCGGUCUAAAAUUUUCAAUGAUCAGGUUACUAUCUUUAAUCAGUUCAACCAUCCAAAUUAUUUCGUCUGCUCUAGUUGAAAUUCUUGCAAAUCUUCAGAAUAUUAUCUUGCGAUACCUGCCUU